rnacentral:lncRNA from 1 species
CCCACUGGACUUUCCCUAGGUUUCGUGCUAAUCUCUUCUGUGAGCUCACUCUACCCUUCCUCCUCCCUCUAACUCUGUGAGGUUGCCCCUUAAACGUGUCAUCAGGUGG